CGCGCAGCACGCCCCCCAACUCCCCAGAGUCCGCUCCUCCCUACCCUCCGGCCAGAUUCUCCGCUCCCGGCCUCUACCGCCCGCUCGAAACGCCACCCCCAUGGCUAGGGUUUCGGGCAGGGCUUCGCCGGCGCGUCUCCGGCGGCCCAGAUGCAGAUGGAGCACGCCAUGGGAAUUCCCCAUCCACCAUGGUCGCCGCCAUCAAGGGCUUCUUCACGGAGAUGUGGAGGACGCCAUGGACCUGCAGCUCCAAGGUCAACAGGGAGGAACCCUAGCCAUAAGCACCUCCUCGGAUGACGCCUCUGCUACACCAAGAUAGGUCAAGCAACCCCCAUCUACUCUCUGUCUCUCCCAUUAGCACAAGUCCAGUUUUAUUUUGAACAAAAUUCUGCUACUACACAAACAAGUCCAUUAACAGAUCUAUUUUUAUUUAAUUGAUAUCCUUCCAAACACAAACAGUGUAUAUAUGAUG